AAGUCGUAACAAGGUAACCGUAGGUGAACCUGCGGUUGGAUCAUUAGUGGUUUUUUGGCAGCGCUGUUGUAGUGUAUGGUGGAGGUGUUGGGUUUGGUGUGGUGUGUGUUGUGUUGUUUGUUGGUUGUGUGUUGCCUGGCCUUGGCACAGCAACGGACGACGGCACACUCGGACCAGACCCAACAGACCUCGCCAGAUAGACGUCUUUGCUUGCUUUGAUGAAACCAAAUCAAAAACAACUUUUGACAACGGAUCUCUUGGCUCUC
rnacentral:misc_RNA from 1 species